CACGUAGGGGGCGAGCGUUGUCCGGAUUUAUUGGGCGUAAAGAGCUCGUAGGCGGCUCAGUAAGUCGGGUGUGAAAUUUCAGGGCUCAACCCUGAAACGCCACCCGAUACUGCUGUGGCUAGAGUCCGGUAGGGGAGCGUGGAAUUCCUGGUGUAGCGGUGAAAUGCGCAGAUAUCUGGAGGAAUACCGGUGGCGAAGGCGGCAUCCUGGACCGGCAUUGACGCUGAGGAGCGAAAGCCAGGGGAGCAAACGGG
rnacentral:rRNA from 1 species